rnacentral:rRNA from 1 species
GACAGAGGAUGCAAGCGUUAUCCGGAAUGAUUGGGCGUAAAGCGUCUGUAGGUGGCUUUUUAAGUCCGCCGUCAAAUCCCAGGGCUCAACCCUGGACAGGCGGUGGAAACUACCAAGCUGGAGUACGGUAGGGGCAGAGGGAAUUUCCGGUGGAGCGGUGAAAUGCGUAGAGAUCGGAAAGAACACCGAUGGCGAAGGCACUUUACUGGGCUAUUACUAACACUGAGAGACGAAAGCUAGGGUAGCAAAUGGG